UUAUUACCAUCUCCAUUUCCCUCUCUCUCUCAUCUUUACUGCUAUCCUUGCAGCUCUAUCUGCAUUCUUUCUCUACUCCCGCCGCCAGCACCACCACUACGCCAAGACCACCAAAAAAUUUUACGAUCCGACAGCCUUCGUCUUUUCCCACCAAACACUAUCCCUUCCGACGGCUCUCCCAAGCCCCCCAAACUUCCACAUCGACCUGACGUUCCCAACACCAGCUCAGAGUUCUUGUAUCUGGGUACAUUAGUAAACUCUCAAAGUGGAAUAGAUGAUCAACAGAAGGUUACGAAUUCGAGCAAUGCUGGAGUCAAGAUUGGUGUAUCAUCCUCUCCAUAUCAUAAACUGGGUUCUCCAGAACUCAAACCACUGCCUCCAUUGCCCAGACAUAACUAUACGCCGAGUUAUAGAAGCGGAGA
rnacentral:misc_RNA from 1 species